GGACUGGUAGCUCAGUUGGAAGAGCACCACUAUACUACACUGGAGGCCACAGGUUCAAUUUCUAGUCCACUUUU